AACAAAGUUCAUUAUAAAAACGAUUUAUAAUAAAGUAAAUUUACAUUGCUACGUUUCAUUCUCCAUAUUUAUAAACGUAAUAACACGUGUUUGAAGCUGCGAAGAAGCAAACAUGAAUCGGAGUUGUUCGGAAAUUACCGGAACAUUCGGAAAUGCCGGUAUAUAAAUAAUUCGAAUUCUAACUCGAAGUCCAACUCGAACUCGAACUCGAACUCGAACUGGA